UGGACUAAUUGUUAGUCCAGUCCCAUGUUUGUUAGGCAGCGGGAUUAAGUUAAGUAGGAUUCAAUCGGACUGGCUCCGACUAUCUCCUUCGCUAACAGUUCUUAGCGAGCACCCUCAAAUAUGACAGGAUUGCUAAGACUGUCUUUGAAAGAGUUCGCUCGUCCUGCUUCUCGUCUUCGUCUUGCAGGUCUGGAUUUGUUUCUAAGGACCUCUAUCAGCAUGGGAUUUUCAGUGCUUCCAUUAAGCUGCCUGCUGAUUACACUUCUGGAGUUGUUGCGUUUUAUGCUAGUUCAUUCUAUUUUUCUACCUGAUUAAGGUUUUUAAUUUGUUUCCCUCUUUGUUUGUUGUAUGAUUAUAUCUAAGGUUGUAUGAUUUUAUUGUCAACAAAAUAAUAUGACCUAGAUUUUUACUUCUCAAUUUUACAGUUUAGUAAAGUUCAAUCUUUAUGGU